GGGUUGUGAGGUUAAGCGACUAAGCGUACACGGUGGAUGCCCUGGCAGUCAGAGGCGAUGAAGGACGUGCUAAUCUGCGAUAAGCGCCGGUAAGGUGAUAUGAACCGUUAUAACCGGCGAUUUCCGAAUGGGGAAACCCAGUGUGACUCGUCACACUAUCAUUA
rnacentral:rRNA from 1 species